ACAUCAACUACAACUAACAAUAGAAUAGGAUGUAGCAUUAGCAAGGAAGAUCCUGCUGAGGAUACAUAUUCAGUCAUCGAUUGGGAUGCAGCAUCUUCCUUUCAAGUCCAUCUGGAUGGACUGAACAAGAUUUUGGAGGACCCUAAGGAUAAGGAUGGUCUCCAGAGCUUUGUGGGUAACAUGGGAGCAACUUCUUCAUCGAUGGUGCCUAAUUCUUGGGAAGAUGAGAAGAUUUCCUAGGACUUUGAGGAAAGAAGUAUAGCUAAAUCUCCUUGUGGAUCCUCCUAUGUUUCCGCCACUACAGGAGAUGUGGUUGACUGAGAUAUUGUCGGAAGUCAAGGAGUUGAAGCAUACUCAGAUGAAACAAGCUGGGAGGAUGAUUACUUUGGAGAUGGAGCUGCUUGAAUCAAGAAGGGAGAUACUUCGGCUAAAAGGGAGCAAUGGAAGUUUUUAAGGACAUGCAUGGUAAG